UGCAAAAAGUUCAUAGAUUGGACUCUGACAAACGGAAUAAAAAAUAUAACAGAAAAUGUCAUCACUGCUUAUACGAAAGAAAUAUCUACUAAAAACAAGCCCUCGACUCUUUGGACAACACAUCCAAUGUUAAUAACAAUGAUAAAUAUUAAAAGUAACAUUGACUUUUCAAGUUACACUAAAUUGCGUUGAUUUCUUAAAUUACAAUUUACCGGAUAUAGUACUAAAAAAUCAAAAAAUUGAACUCUGGAGCAAGUAAAAAAGUUUCUACUAGAAGCUCCGGAGUAAGAAUAUUUAUUUAGAAAAGUAGUGUGGAUUUUUGAGGAUAUUGUUGUCAAGAAAUGAGAAAAUUGAAAAAUAAAUCAUGUUACAAUUUUAUAAAAUGAAUUUCAAGUUAAAUUAAUUGAUAUAAAAGCAAAAACAGAA